AGAGUUGAUCCUGGCUCAGAAUGAACGUGGGCGGCGUGCUUAACACAUGCAAGUCGAACGAGAAAGUUCUUUUCGGAGGACGAGUAGAGUGGCGCACGGGUGAGUAACACGUGGAUAAUCUGCCCCGGAGUUCGGGAUAACCAUUCGAAAGGGUGGCUAAUACCGGAUAGAAUGGAUGCAUGCAGGUGCAUUGAUGAAAGGCGGCACUUUCGGGUGCUGUUGCUUUGGGAUGAGUCCGCGCAUCAUUAGCUUGCUGGUGGGGUAACGGCCUACCAGGGCGACGAUGGUUAGCUGAUCUGAGAGGGUGAUCAGCCACACUGGAACUGAAACACGGUCCAGACUCCUACGGGAGGCAGCAGUGAGGGAUUUUGCGCAAUGGGGGUAACCCUGACGCAGCAACGCCGCGUGAGUGAAGAAGGCCUUUGGGUCGUAAAGCUCUGUCAACAGGGAAGAAGUUACAUUGGAUUAAGAGUUUGAUGUAUUGACGGUACCUGUGGAGGAAGCACCGGCUAACUCCGUGCCAGCAGCCGCGGUAACACGGGGGGUGCAAGCGUUAUUCGGAAUUAUUGGGCGUAAAGUGCGCGCAGGCGGUCUUGUCAGUCAGAUGUGAAAGCCCGGGGCUCAACUCCGGACGUGCAUUUGAAACAGCAGGACUUGAGUACAGGAGAGGAAAGCGGAAUUCCUGGUGUAGAGGUGAAAUUCGUAGAUAUCAGGAGGAACACCGAUGGCGAAGGCAGCUUUCUGGACUGAUACUGACGCUGAGGCGCGAAGGCGUGGGUAGCGAACAGGAUUAGAUACCCUGGUAGUCCACGCAGU
rnacentral:rRNA from 1 species